GAUGAACGCUGGCGGCGUGCUUAACACAUGCAAGUCGAACGAAGCACCUUGAUUUCUUCGGAAUGAUUGGUGACUGAGUGGCGGACGGGUGAGUAACGCGUGGGUAACCUGCCUCACACAGGGGGAUAACAGUUAGAAAUGACUGCUAAUACCGCAUAAGACCACAGUACCGCAUGGUACAGUGAUAAAAACUCCGGUGGUGUGAGAUGGACCCGCGUCUGAUUAGCUAGUUGGUGAGGUAACGGCCCACCAAGGCGACGAUCAGUAGCCGACCUGAGAGGGUGACCGGACGCAGUGGGAAUGAGACACGGCCCAAACUCCUACGGGAGGCAGCAGUGGGGAAUAUUGCACAAUGGGCGAAAGCCUGAUGCAGCGACGCCGCGUGAAGGAUGAAGUAUUUCGGUAUGUAAACUUCUAUCAGCAGGGAAGAAAAUGACGGUACCUGACUAAGAAGCCCCGGCUAACGACGUGCCAGCAGCCGCAGUAAAAC
rnacentral:rRNA from 1 species